AUGGGCUCCAGGCUCCUCUGCUGUAUGGUCCCUUGUCUUCUGGGAGCAGGCUCUGUGCACACUGGAAUUACCCAGAUACCAAAACACCUGGUGACAGCGAUGGGAAGUAAAGGGACCCUGAAGGGUGAACAUCUGGAACAUAAUUCUAUGUAUUGGGAUAAAAAGAAUGCUAAGAAAUCACCGGAGCUCAUGUUUUUCUACAACAAUAAGGAACUCAUUGAAAAUAAGACUGUUCUGAGUCGCUUCUUACCUGAAUGUCCAGACAGCUCCCUCUUAUAA